rnacentral:misc_RNA from 1 species
UUGAAUAAAUCUGACGUGGUUGCAGCUGACUCUCCGGAGUACGUGCUCGCCUAGUCACCUUUAUCUUUCCACCUGUGCACACACUGCAGUCCUGGAUACCUCUCGUCGAAAGGCGGAUGCAGGGUUUGCUGUGACUUCGCAAGAAGGCCGGCUCACUCUGAAUUUCCCAGGUCUAUGAUCUUACACACCCCAAACUGAAUGUUACAGAAUGUUAUCAUCGGGCUUCGUGCCUAUAAAUUUAU